rnacentral:rRNA from 1 species
UACGAAGGGGGCUAGCGUUGUUCGGAAUUACUGGGCGUAAAGCGCGCGCAGGCGGUCCUUCAAGUCAGAGGUGAAAGCCCAGAGCUCAACUCUGGAAUGGCCUUUUGAGACUAGAGGACUUGGGUACGGGAGAGGUGAGUGGAAUUCCGAGUGUAGAGGUGAAAUUCGUAGAUAUUCGGAAGAACACCAGUGGCGAAGGCGGCUCACUGGCCCGUUACCGACGCUCAGGCGCGACAGCGUGGGGGAGCAAACAGG